GCAGCGACGCCGCGUGAGGGAUGAAGGCCUUCGGGUUGUAAACCUCUUUCAGCAGGGAAGAAGCGCAAGUGACGGUACCUGCAGAAGAAGCGCCGGCUAACUACGUGCCAGCAGCCGCGGUAAUACGUAGGGCGCAAGCGUUGUCCGGAAUUAUUGGGCGUAAAGAGCUCGUAGGCGGUUUGUCGCGUCUGGUGUGAAAACUCGAGGCUCAACCUCGAGCUUGCAUCGGGUACGGGCAGACUAGAGUGCGGUAGGGGAGACUGGAAUUCCUGGUGUAGCGGUGGAAUGCGCAGAUAUCAGGAGGAACACCGAU
rnacentral:rRNA from 1 species